UCUACAAUUUUCAUUGGCGGCGCCAGAUAUUUUCUUUUGGGGGUGCUGUGGGGAAGCUUCACGUUUCAUAGAGGAUGUUCAAACAUUUAGGGUUUCCCAUUAAUGUCCCUCCCGGGCUACAGACAGUUGAAUGUUCUACUGCAACACUCCCCAU